rnacentral:lncRNA from 1 species
GGCCGCCGGCGGUGAGGUGGUCGCGAGGCGACGUCCGGCACGGCGGGACGAGCAUUACGUUGCCGAAGCCUCGGAGCGUUCCUGUGGAGGCGCAGUGCGAGAUGGGAGGUUUUCCGAGCUGCUGGUUCAUCUGAGGACGUACAACCUGAUACCGGUAAGUCUUGUCAGGGACAAGCAUGCACUGAGCUGCGGCUGUCCAGUCAGACAAACUCAGAGGUGCUUGAAGACUUCUCUGAAGGCUGUGAUGACCCUAAGAAGAGAGCACGCGGACUCCCUGAGUGGGAAACAUCUCAUGUUUGAUAUAUUUUUCUGUGUCGCUUGAGGUGCGUUUCCAGAACACACAGCUUAACAAAAGUAGAUACAUAAGAAUCAUACAUACCAGAAAGAUGAAUGGAAGCCACUGUAAAGCCUAAGCAUGAAUCCAUCACUGCAAACUGAAAUACAGGCUGGAGCAGCCAUUUCCAUACUUUCUUCCAUGGACCAUCCUGGAGGAACAGAAGCAGGUAUGGGAUCUGUCACACAUUGUCGGACACAAUAGUGGAGAGCUUCAAGGGAGAUGAUACCUAAGAGGGCCACACU